rnacentral:rRNA from 1 species
UACGGGGGGAGCAAGCGUUGUUCGGAUUUACUGGGCGUAAAGGGUGCGCAGGCGGUUGGGUGUGUCAGAUGUGAAAUCCCGAGGCUUAACCUCGGAACUGCGUCUGAAACUACUCGACUAGAGUACUGGAGAGGGUAACGGAAUUCACGGUGUAGCAGUGAAAUGCGUAGAUAUCGUGAGGAACACCAGAGGCGAAGGCGGUUACCUGGACAGUUACUGACGCUCAGGCACGAAAGCAUGGGGAGCAAAAGGG